CGGAAUUACUGGGCGUAAAGUGUGCGCAGGCGGCCGAGCAAGUCGAGUGUGAAAGCCCCGGGCUUAACCGGGGAACUGCGUCUGAUACUGGAUGGCUUGAGUUCGGGAGAGGGAUGCGGAAUUCCAGGUGUAGCGGUGAAAUGCGUAGAUAUCUGGAGGAACACCGGUGGCGAAGGCGGCAUCCUGGACCGAUACUGACACUGAGGAGCGAAAGCCAGGGGAGCAAACGGG
rnacentral:rRNA from 1 species